GACGAACGCUGGCGGUGUGCUUAACACAUGCAAGUCGAACGGUAAGGCCCUUUCGGGGGUACACGAGUGGCGAACGGGUGAGUAACACGUGAGUAACCUGCCCUCAUCUCUGGGAUAACAGUCGGAAACGGUUGCUAAUACUGGAUAUGAGCUUGCAAGGCAUCUUGUGGGUUGGAAAGAUUUUUUUUGGUUGGGGAUGGACUCGCGGCCUAUCAGCUUGUUGGUGAGGUAGUGGCUCACCAAGGCUUCGACGGGUAGCCGGCCUGAGAGGGCGACCGGCCACAUUGGGACUGAGAUACGGCCCAAACUCCUACGGGAGGCAGCAGUGGGGAAUAUUGCACAAUGGACGGAAGUCUGAUGCAGCAACGCCGCGUGCGGGAUGACGGCCUUCGGGUUGUAAACCGCUUCCAAUUGUGACGAAGCUUUUUUGUGACGGUAGCAGUAGAAGAAGCACCGGCUAACUACGUG
rnacentral:rRNA from 1 species